AGAGAUGCAUUGGGUUUAAAGUGUGCGCAGGCGGUUUUGUAAGACAGAGGUGAAAUCCCCGGGCUCAACCUGGGAACUGCCUUUGUGACUGCAAGGCUGGAGUGCGGCAGAGGGGGAUGGAAUUCCGCGUGUAGCAGUGAAGUGCGUAGAUAUGCGGAGGAACACCGAUGGCGAAGGCAAUCCCCUGGGCCUGCACUGACGCUCAUGCACGAAAGCGUGGGGAGCAAACA
rnacentral:rRNA from 1 species